rnacentral:lncRNA from 1 species
UGUGUGUUCAGUUCUAAUAAAUUAACAUGGACACUUACCACGCUGCAUAUUGGUCUGAUCUUGACUACUCUUCCUCAGACGAAGAAUAGAUUCGUUACAGUCCGGUACACAAGUAUCUAUAGGUAGACUUUAUCUGUAUGCUUUAUCCCUCCAGCUAUCCAAUAAAUAUGGCUCCAUCCAUGGUUCACUUUUGACCCAAGAAAGUGGUUGUUCUGGCAGGAUACAAGAUGGUUAAGCAGGCGCUGGUCAACCAUGCAGAGGAGUUUGGGGAACGGGGAAUGCCGCCUGUGUUCUAAGAUUUCUCCAGUGGACAUGGUAAUGUCCAAACCUGUGAUCCAGUUAACUGUUGCAUUCUACACAAUGGUCUGUCAAGCAGGCAUAGUUGGUGCUGUAACUCCAGACCCAAAUAUUUGACAAAGAUAUUAUUCUCUCCUGACAUGAUUAAUUCCUGACACCUGCACAAUGUGACUUUUAUACAGGAAUUCUGGUUGCCAAUGGAGACUCAUGGAAAGAGACAAUAUGCUUUUCCGUAGCGAACCUUAGACUUUGGCAUGGGCAAGAAAGGAAGUCAGGAGGAAAUUCGCUACCUUAUUCAAUUGUUAGAAAAAACAUGAGGGUAAAAAUUUGAAGUUACGAUUUUUGAAUACCCAAAUAAGAGAACAAAUAUAUGCAUGUUCUUAGUUUUGCUAAUUCUCUUUCUGUUGGGCUUUGUGACAGGUAAAGACACAACCCAGCCAAUGAAUUAUGAUGUCUCCAAUGUAUCUCCAACAUUGUGUAUGGCAGCAGGUUUGAAUACUCUGACCCCAAGAUCCAAGCCAAUGAGAACCUCAGAAUUAGUGGCUCUGUUUCAAUGCAGGUACAUGAUGUUUACUUUGUUUCUCACUCUUAGAGAAUAAUGCCAAACUGUUCACACUUGACUAAACCAUUAAAAUAAACUAAAUAUUCAAUUUGUUGUAGGCUACAUUUAUGCUUUACUUUUUGUUUAUGGGAAGAUAGUGGUACAACAUAUUCCCAUGGCUGGGACCUUGGCUGAAAACCAAUAAGCUUUUGUUAAAGAAUAUUGAAAACAACAAGAAGGAGAUGAGGGAGGUCUCCAGGAACAGUGUUGAAGUUAAAACCUACAGGAGAGUAGCUCAACUACAGGAACAGGGUUGGAGUUAAAACCUACAGGAGAGUAGCUCAACUACAGGAACAGGGUUGGAGUUAAAACCUACAGGAGAGUAGCUCAACUACAGGAACAGGGCUGGAGUUAAAACCUACAGGAGAGUAAGCUACUCUACCUGUAGGUUUUUAAACUGUAACCCCUGUGGUAAGAGUACUCUCCCUGUAGGUUUU